GUUUUAAACCAAAAAUUGAUAUGUGCCAUUAGUUAUUUGCAAGUUUAUUUUAUAAUUUAUCAGAUUUCUUGAUGAUGCUUCUUUUGAGUGUUAAGUUUGUUUUUUUGCAGCUUGAGUGUGUUAGAAUAGUGCUGAAAUAAUGAAAUGAUUUAAUAUUUUUCAAAAUUUUGAUCAUGCAAUUUUAAAAACUUAAUAUAAAUUUGAUGUAUGUGUUUUUAAUGUAAUUGUAUUUCUUACUUCUUUAUUUUCUUAUAGAUUUAACAUUUUUGAAAAGUUACUGUUUUAAUGUGUGUUCAGAAUUUCAAAAAACAGCAUUCUUAAAAAACUCCCACCUAUUUAUUUCUUCUUUUCUGACAGUAAAAAUUUCUACUUUUUUUACUUAAGAAACUAAUUAUGUCUCAUGAAUGAAUAUUUUUUUGUCUUUUUUUGUUAUGUUUUACAUAGAUAUAUAUUAUUAUAUUGAGUCAAUAUUUAAACAUAACAUUCCAUUGUGUGGAGUGGUAUAUGUGGAUGUUAGAGUAUAUAUAUAUAUUGCUAGUAAGUAAAUCACAGGUGCUAGUUUGAAUUAUAUAUAUGGCAUAUUGAUUAGCAGUGGGGUACAAGGUCAUUCAUAUCAUGUAUUUCAAUUCAUUCAACUUUAUAUUAUAUAUUAUAGGGUAAUCAUUAAAUGCAUAAUGUCUUCACUACAUUAAAAGCAGCAACUGCAAAAAAAUAAAAGAAGUGUUUAGACCUCACUUUACAUCAUACGGCUACUAAUAACUUUAUAUAUCGUAAGUCUUUUAAUAAAAGACGAUGUAAGAAGCAUGCAUGGAUUUAAAUCCAUCUGUUCACCAGUUUGUAAUGUAAGUGAAAAAAGAAACAUUUGCACUUGUUUCAUCAUUGUGUAUUUUAAUUUAUAAACAUCAUGUUUUCUUUAAAAAGCAAUUUCUCCUUGAUGGCAAAAAUGGUGCUAGAACAGUUGUAAUUUGAUUUUUUUCAUAAAUAAAUAAACAACUACAUAGUUUUAAUACAGAUAAAUUUAUUUUAGAGUAUGACACUAUAUUUUGUUGAAUAACCUCAAGAGUAAUCACACCCAUUUUAUCUAACCAAAACUGUUACUAAAAUACAAAUAUAUUUAACAUAUCAAAACAAAACCAUAAACAGUCAGUAAUGAUAUAGAAUGAAAUUCAAAACAGUGUGGCUGUGGCCAUUGAUUGACACAUUAAAUUCAUCCAUUGACUGGGAAAAUUUACGUUAACGUUUGUCUGUAACGACCACUGUUCACGACGUACCUACGAUAGACAUUUAAACUGUGGGGUCACCAAAGGUUUCUUAACGCCUUUAAUUAUAAAAUAAUUCGAAAAAUUAAUCAGGAAUAACCUUUAUGUUUUGAUUUAUACAAUUGAUAUAAAUCAAAACAUCGUGUUAUUUCUGAUUAAUUUUUCGAAUUACUUUAUUAAGGUGUCGAGAACCUUUGGUGACCCCAUAGUUUAAGUGUCUUUAAAAAGUACAUAGUGAGCAGUGGUCGUUACAUACAAACGUUUACCUAAAUUGUCCCAGUCAAUGGAUGAAUUUAAUGUGUCAAUCAAUGGCCACAGCCACACUGUUUUGAAUUUCAUUCUAAUAACUUGAUAAAACUUCAAGUAAAAGGUUAUAUCCCUUUAAAAUCAUGGCUGGUAAAACCUGUUCUUCUGCUCUCUCCUGCUCUUUAAGCCAGCAGACAUGUGUGUUAUUUAUGAUUUACAAGCACUGCCAUCAGUGACUGCAUGACACUUUUAAAACUAAAUAAUUGGUGCAUCCUAGUUCAUUGACACUGUUAAACAGUACUGUACAUAUGUCAUUUAAUAUUGUAUACUCUCUUAGUAAUGUUAUUCCAUAGAUGCCAGUUUUUAAGUUUGUGGGUACAGAUUUCAUUUAUUGUUACUUAAUUUCAUACCUUAAGAUUGCCUCUGUACAUUAGCACUUGCAUUAUAUAUAAAUAGUCAUGCUUUGUCUCAACAAUUGAGAAAGGCUUAAUUGACAGCCCUUAAUUAUGUUUAUUUAAAUUAUAGUAUAAAUUCUUCCUACAGAUUUGAAAUUAGAUCUUAAUGAAUAUUUCAGUAUUAAACUGCAAUAAUUC
rnacentral:lncRNA from 1 species